rnacentral:sRNA from 1 species
CCUUCCAGGGCUGGUUGCAUAGCAACCAAAUAAGGAUGUGGUAGCAGGGAAGGUCCAAGCUGAUAAGGAAGCAGGUCAGAAGCAGCAGGAUCGCAAAGAAAUUUUAAUGAUGACAGGACAGCAGCUGCAUUUCUGAGUAAAAGGGAUCCGUUGACGCCAGCUGAAGCAAGUGGUCCAAUCAACUGUGGAAGAGCAACGAAUGCAAGGAGAAUGGAUUCUCAUGGGAACGUAGCUGACUGGAAGGCAAUGGAACAUCAUCUAGAAGACCAAGGUUACCUGGAAACACUGUGUGAAAGAAACCCGAAUCCUGCAGCUCAACUGGGCAGGGAGAGCACCAAAAUGUGGGACUUAUGUCACCCCUCCCCUCAAGGUAAAUAUUUGCACACAUAUAAUUUUGUACUUG